GACGAACGCUGGCGGCGUGCCUAACACAUGCAAGUCGAACGAACAGACGAGGAGCUUUGUCCUCUGACGUUUUCGGCGGACGGGUGAGUAAAACGUGUAUAACAUACCUCUAAGACAGGGGUAACAUCGGGGAACAGGAGCUAUUACCGGAUAAUAUAUCGAACCUCGUGGUUCAAGAGUGAAAAACGGUUGUUCUUUCACUUAUAGAUGGACCCGCGCCGGAUUAGCUAGUUGGUAAGGUAGUUGCUUACCAAGGCAACGAUGGGUACCCGACCCGAUAGGGUGAACGACCAGAUGGGAACUGAGAAAGGCCCCAGACACUUGCGGGGGGAAGCGGUCGGGAAUCUUCCGCAAUGGAGGAAAGCCUGACGGAGCAACACGGGGGAAGGGAUGACGGUCUCAGGAUGGGAAAACUCUGUAAUUAGGAAGAAAGAAAUGUUUAAGUAACGAUGAACGUAUUGACGGUACCUGAACAGAAAGCCACGGCUAACUACGUG
rnacentral:rRNA from 1 species